rnacentral:rRNA from 1 species
AACGAACGCUGGCGGCAUGCCUAACACAUGCAAGUCGAACGAGACCUUCGGGUCUAGUGGCGCACGGGUGCGUAACGCGUGGGAACCUGCCUUUAGGUUCGGAAUAACUCAGAGAAAUUUGAGCUAAUACCGGAUGAUGUCUUCGGACCAAAGAUUUAUCGCCUUUAGAUGGGCCCGCGUUGGAUUAGCUAGUUGGUGGGGUAAAGGCCUACCAAGGCGACGAUCCAUAGCUGGUCUGAGAGGAUGAUCCGCCACACUGGGAAUGAGACACGGCCCAGACUCCGACGGGAGGGAGCAGUGGGGAAUAUUGGACAAUGGGCGAAAGCCUGAUCCAGCAAUGCCGCGUGAGUGAUGAAGGCCUUAGGGUUGUAAAGCUCUUUUACCCGAGAUGAUAAUGACAGUAUCGGGAGAAUAAGCUCCGGCUAACUCCGUG